CGCUGGCGGCGUGACCUAAUACAUGCAAGUCGAGCGGAAUGAUGAAGAAGCUUGCUUCUUCUGAUUUUAGCGGCGGACGGGUGAGUAACACGUGGGCAACCUACCUUGUAGAUUGGGAUAACUCCGGGAAACCGGGGCUAAUACCGAAUAAUCCAUUUUGCUUCAUGGCGAGAUGUUGAAAGACGGUUUCGGCUGUCACUACAAGAUGGGCCCGCGGCGCAUUAGCUAGUUGGUAGGGUAAUGGCCUACCAAGGCGACGAUGCGUAGCCGACCUGAGAGGGUGAUCGGCCACACUGGGACUGAGACACGGCCCAGACUCCUACGGGAGGCAGCAGUAGGGAAUCUUCCACAAUGGACGAAAGUCUGAUGGAGCAACGCCGCGUGAGUGAAGAAGGUUUUCGGAUCGUAAAACUCUGUUGUAAGGGAAGAACACGUACGAGAGUAACUGCUCGUACCUUGACGGUACCUUAUUAGAAAGCCACGGCUAACUACGUG
rnacentral:rRNA from 1 species